rnacentral:rRNA from 1 species
UACGUAGGUGGCAAGCGUUGUCCGGAUUACUGGGCGUAAAGAGCGCGCAGGCGGUCGAAUAAGUCGAAUGUGAAAUCCCCGGGCUCAACCUGGGAACUGCAUUUGUGACUGCAUCGCUGGAGUGCGGCAGAGGGGGAUGGAAUUCCGCGUGUAGCAGUGAAAUGCGUAGAUAUCGAGAGGAACACCUGCGGCGAAGGCGGGUAGCUGGGCCGACACGUGACGCUGAUGCGCGAAAGCCAGGGAGCGAACGGG